CCUACGGGGCGCAGCAGUGAGGAAUAUUGGUCAAUGGGCGGGAGCCUGAACCAGCCAAGUCGCGUGAGGGAAGACGGUCCUAUGGAUUGUAAACCUCUUUUGUCGGGGAGCAAAGAGAUCACGUGUGGUCAAAAGCGAGAGUACCUGAAGAAAAAGCAUCGGCUAACUCCGUGCCAGCAGCCGCGGUAAUACGGAGGAUGCGAGCGUUAUCCGGAUUUAUUGGGUUUAAAGGGUGCGUAGGCGAGACCUUAAGUCAGCGGUAAAAUUGCGGUGCUCAACGCCGUAGAGCCGUUGAAACUGGGGUU
rnacentral:rRNA from 1 species